rnacentral:rRNA from 1 species
AGGUGGGCAAAGGCGGCCCCCUGGACAAGACUGACGCUCAGGUGCGAAAGCGUGGGGAGCAAACAGGAUUGAUACCCUGGUAGUCCACGCCGUAAACGAUGUCGACUUGGAGGUUGUUCCCUUGAGGAGUGGCUUCCGGAGCUAACGCGUUAAGUCGACCGCCUGGGGAGUACGGCCGCAAGGUUAAAACUCAAAUGAAUUGACGGGGGCCCGCACAAGCGGUGGAGCAUGUGGUUUAAUUCGAUGCAACGCGAAGAACCUUACCUACUCUUGACAUCCAGAGAACUUAGCAGAGAUGCUUUGGUGCCUUCGGGAACUCUGAGACAGGUGCUGCAUGGCUGUCGUCAGCUCGUGUUGUGAAAUGUUGGGUUAAGUCCCGCAACGRGCGCAACCCUUAUCCUUUGUUACCAGCGGUUCGGCCGGGAACUCUAAAGAGACUGCCAGUGAAUAAAUGGAGGAAGGCGGCCAUCACACGA